UACGUAGGGGGCAAGCGUUAUCCGGAAUCAUUGGGCGUAAAGAGCGUGUAGGCGGCUUGGUAAGUCCGCUGUGAAAGUCCAGGGCUCAACCCUGGAAUGCCGGUGGAAACUGUCAAGCUUGAGUCCGGAAGAGGCGAGUGGAAUUCCUGGUGUAGCGGUGAAAUGCGCAGAUAUCAGGAGGAACACCAAUGGCGAAGGCAGCUCGCUGGGACGGUACUGACGCUGAGACGCGAAAGCGUGGGGAGCAAACAGG
rnacentral:rRNA from 1 species